rnacentral:rRNA from 1 species
AUUGAACGCUGGCGGCAGGCCUAACACAUGCAAGUCGAACGGUAACAGGAAGCAGCUUGCUGCUUUGCUGACGAGUGGCGGACGGGUGAGUAAUGUCUGGGAAACUGCCUGAUGGAGGGGGAUAACUACUGGAAACGGUAGCUAAUACCGCAUAACGUCGCAAGACCAAAGAGGGGGACCUUCGGGCCUCUUGCCAUCGGAUGUGCCCAGAUGGGAUUAGCUAGUAGGUGGGGUAAAGGCUCACCUAGGCGACGAUCCCUAGCUGGUCUGAGAGGAUGACCAGCCACACUGGAACUGAGACACGGUCCAGACUCCUACGGGAGGCAGCAGUGGGGAAUAUUGCACAAUGGGCGCAAGCCUGAUGCAGCCAUGCCGCGUGUAUGAAGAAGGCCUUCGGGUUGUAAAGUACUUU